UCUCUUCCUAUCAAGAAACAUAUUUUUGGGGUCGGAACACCUGGAUGGCAUAGUUUAAAUUCUUAUGCACUUUACAUGGUGGCUUGACAGACGUUUUUUUUGUGCUCACAUCACUGAAUUGAACUGGAGCAUAACUCGAGCAGGCAUGCUGAACACAACAACUUAGAGCACUACAAUAUCAAAAUGCAGCAGUGUUAUUCCUAUUUAACAUCUUUUAUAUUUUGUAAUUUAUCCUAACUUAAAUUAAUAACAUUUUUCUAUUUUACAGCAUCUCCUUUUCCUAUACCUUUAAAAUAAGCAUGAUUUGACACAUUCAAUAAAGUUCUUUUUUAUUUAUUGAAAAUCCCCCAACAUUGUUAUUAAAUACCUGGCGUUUCCACUUUAGUUUUAACAGUUUCUGGUCCUUGAUUUGGUAAAUUAGAAACUACACAUUCUUGAAUGGGCGUCAUGACAGGCGAAUCAUCAGUCUGAAUUGUAGUUUCUUUGACUGUUUUGUUGCUCUUUAAAAUACUAAAAACAAAUGAAUAGUAAAUACUGCUGUUGAUUUUUUUUUUCAGUAGUAGAUUACACACAGCAACUAUAACUCUUCUAUACUUUGAUGCAGUUUACUCGUUGUACAUUAUUAAAUAAAAUUUCUUUUGGUAGAAA